UCGAUUGAGUUUGAUCAUGGCUCAGAACGAACGCUGGCGGCAGGCCUAACACAUGCAAGUCGAACGCCGUAGCAAUACGGAGUGGCAGACGGGUGAGUAACGCGUGGGAACAUACCCCUCGGUUCGGAAUAACUCAGGGAAACUUGAGCUAAUACCGGAUAAGUCCGAGGUUUUAAUCGACCUUGGAGAAAGAUUUAUCGCCGGAGGAUUGGCCCGCGUCUGAUUAGCUUGUUGGUGAGGUAAUGGCUCACCAAGGCGACGAUCAGUAGCUGGUCUGAGAGGAUGAUCAGCCACAUUGGGACUGAGACACGGCCCAAACUCCUACGGGAGGCAGCAGUGGGGAAUAUUGGACAAUGGGCGAAAGCCUGAUCCAGCCAUGCCGCGUGAGUGAUGAAGGCCUUAGGGUUGUAAAGCUCUUUUACCCGGGAAGAUAAUGACGGUACCGGGAGAAUAAGCCCCGGCUAACUUCGUGCCAGCAGCCGCGGUAAUACGAAGGGGGCUAGCGUUGUUCGGAAUUACUGGGCGUAAAGCGCACGUAGGCGGAUCUUUAAGUCAGGGGUGAAAUCCCGAGGCUCAACCUCGGAACUGCCUUUGAUACUGGGGAUAUCGAGUCCGGGAGAGGUGAGUGGAACUGCGAGUGUAGAGGUGAAAUUCGUAGAUAUUCGCAAGAACACCAGUGGCGAAGGCGGCUCACUGGCCCGGUACUGACGCUGAGGUGCGAAAGCGUGGGGAGCAAACAGGAUUAGA
rnacentral:rRNA from 1 species